AUGGGCCUUCCCUCUCUCCGAGGAUGAAGAGGGGAAGGGAGACAUUAGGGGAGGUCUGCUCAGCUGUGGGCCUGCAGAAGGAAGGAAGGAUCCGCAAUAACCUCCACCAUGGCCUGGUCUCCUCUCCUCCUCAUCCUCCUCGCUCACUGCACAGUGUCCUGGGCCCAGUCUAGGCUGACUCAGCCGCCCUCAGUGUCUGGUUCUCUGGGCCAGAGGGUCACCAUCUCCUGCGCUGGAAGCAGCUCUAAUAUUGGUGGUUAUGCUGUGAACUGGCACCAACAAUUCCCAGGAAUGGCCCCCAAAACCAUCAUCUAUGAUAAUAGCAAUCGACCCUCUGGGGUCCCAGAUCGAUUCUCCGGCUCCAAGUCUGGAAACACAGGCACCCUGACCAUCACUGGGCUCCAGGCUGAGGACGAGGCUGAUUAUUACUGCUCAUCGUGGGACAGCAGUAGCAGUUGGGUGUUCGGCGGAGGUACCCAUCUGAGCGUCCUAGGUCAGCCCAAGUCAGCCCCCUCGGUCACACUCUUCCCACCCUCCAGUGAGGAGCUCAGCGCAAACAAGGCCACCCUGGUGUGCCUCAUCAGUGACUUCUACCCCAGCGGCUUGACGGUGGCCUGGAAGGCAGAUGGCACCCCCAUCACCCAGGGCGUGGAGACCACCAAGCCCUCCAAACAGAGCAACAACAAGUACGCUGCCAGCAGCUACCUGAGCCUGUCACCGAACCAGUGGAAAUCUCGCAGCAGAUUCACCUGCCAGGUCACACAUGAGGGGAGCACCGUGGAGAAAAAUGUGGUCCCCGCAGAGUGCUCUUAGGUCAAGGGACCCCCACCUACCCCAGGGGGUGUGCAGCCAUUGGACCUAAAGGAAGGAUUCCCCUUGCACCAGGAUCAUCCCAGCCCUUCUCCCUUCAAUCAAUGCUCAAUAAAAUGUCCUUUAUUCAAUCAGAAA